GACGAACGCUGGCGGCGUGCUUAACACAUGCAAGUCGAACGGAAAGGCCUCGUUUGGGGGGUCCCCGAGUGGCGAACGGGUGAGUAACACGCGAGUAACCUGCCCUUGACUUUGGGAUAACUUCAGGAAACUGGGGCUAAUACCGGAUAGGAGCUCCUGCUGCAUGGUGGGGGUUGGAAAGUUUCGGCGGUUGGGGCUGGACUCGCGGCUUAUCAGCUUGUUCGUGGGGUAGUGGCUUACCAAGGCUUUGACGGGAAGCCGGCCUGGGAGGGUGACCGGCAACAGUGAGACUGGGACUCGGACCAGGCUCCUACGGGGGCGAGCGGUAGGGGAGGGUGAAAUUGGGGUGUGGGCCUGAUGCAGCAACGGCGAGUGCGGGAGGGCGGCCUAGGCGUUGGGAUCCGAAAUCGCUCAUGACGAAGCUUAGUGUGACGGUAGUGGGUAAAGAAGCACCGGCUAACUACGUG
rnacentral:rRNA from 1 species